AGAGUUUGAUCCUGGCUCAGAGCGAACGCUGGCGGCAGGCCUAACACAUGCAAGUCGAACGGGCCCCUUCGGGGGUCAGUGGCAGACGGGUGAGUAACGCGUGGGAACGUGCCCAUCGGUUCGGGAUAACCCAGGGAAACUUGGGCUAAUACCGGAUACGCCCUUUUGGGGAAAGAUUCAUUGCCGAUGGAUCGGCCCGCGUCUGAUUAGCUAGUUGGCGAGGUAACGGCUCACCAAGGCGACGAUCAGUAGCUGGUCUGAGAGGAUGAUCAGCCACACUGGGACUGAGACACGGCCCAGACUCCUACGGGAGGCAGCAGUGGGGAAUAUUGGACAAUGGGCGCAAGCCUGAUCCAGCCAUGCCGCGUGAGUGAUGAAGGCCUUAGGGUUGUAAAGCUCUUUCACCCACGACGAUAAUGACGGUAGUGGGAGAAGAAGCCCCGGCUAACUUCGUGCCAGCAGCCGCGGUAAUACGAAGGGGGCUAGCGUUGCUCGGAAUCACUGGGCGUAAAGGGCGCGUAGGCGGCCGAUCAAGUCAGGGGUGAAAGCCUGUGGCUCAACCACAGAAUUGCCUUUGAUACUGUUCGGCUCGAGACCGGAAGAGGUUGGUGGAACUGCGAGUGUAGAGGUGAAAUUCGUAGAUAUUCGCAAGAACACCAGUGGCGAAGGCGGCCAACUGGUCCGGUUCUGACGCUGAGGCGCGAAAGCGUGGGGAGCAAACAGGAUUAGAUACCCCAGUAGUCC
rnacentral:rRNA from 2 species